CCUACGGGAGGCAGCAGUGGGGAAUAUUGGACAAUGGGGGCAACCCUGAUCCAGCCAUGCCGCGUGUGUGAAGAAGGCCCUCGGGUUGUAAAGCACUUUCAGUGAGGAAGAACGCCUUGUGGUUAAUACCCAUCAGGAAAGACAUCACUCACAGAAGAAGCACCGGCUAACUCCGUGCCAGCAGCCGCGGUAAUACGGAGGGUGCGAGCGUUAAUCGGAAUUACUGGGCGUAAAGCGCGCGUAGGUGGCUUGAUAAGCCGGUUGUGAAAGCCCCGGGCUCAACCUGGGAACGGCAUCCGGAACUGUCAAGCUCGAGUCCAGGAGAGGAAGGUAGAAUUCCCGGUGUAGCGGUGAAAUGCGUAGAGAUCGGGAGGAAUACCAGUGGCGAAGGCGGCCUUCUGGACUGACACUGACACUCAGGUGCGAAAGCGUGGGUAGCAAACAGGAUUAGAUACCCGUGUAGUC
rnacentral:rRNA from 1 species